GAUAUACUGCUGAUCAGGAAAUGUUGUUAUAAUAUUAGAUGGAUCGCAGGUUCGUAAUCAAUGGAAGUUUGUCAGGGAUAGUUUUCGUUUGCCGCUGGUACAAAAAUGCUUAUUGAAGGGCGCGACACGAAAGCAAUGCGGUUUGGCUUGUUUAUUUUGCUCUACAUCCAAAGCAGUCUUGCUACGUCGACGUACACGAAGUCCGCUUACCUCUCACAAAACCUGACUUCACGCCCCACCGUGCUUGCUCCAGUCGUGCCAUCGUAUCCCUUUCGAAGAGAUUUAUUCACAGCAGAAGAAUGCAACCUUUACUUCACCCUUGGAUCCAAUGGAUCCAUGUGUUUGUUGAUUCCCGGCUCCCGUUUAUGUGCCAUAACUGAAAAAUCACCCCGCCGAUUCGUGAUGAUGAACACGUACGUGGAGGUCCCGUGUCUCCACCCAACGCGAUCGCAGUUGGUUAAAACCACCCAAAGAGUAAGCCAAAUCAGUCCGCAACGCGCAGUAGUGCUGCAUUUGGAUGAAGAACCCGAUAAAGAGGAUUUGGUUACCGUUGACGUCAUCGAACCCAUUCGCAACCAAACCGUACACAUUGGCAUUAUUGGCUGUUAUUCGCCGAAUACUACAGCCAGAGUGUACGAAGUGGGUACAAUUCCCAACCUCCACAGUUUUGCCCUUUAUAACUGUCACAAUCAAGCGGUCCGCAAGUCUGAUUUCGGUCGAAUGCCACAAAUACGGCAGAUUGUGUUAACUUUAUGUACGAUAAACAUGCUGGAGCCGGGCACCUUCACUGAUUUGCCACAUUUGCGUAGCUUGGUUCUGGAGAGACAACUAAUCCUGGCGUUAUUUAGUGCAAAAAAUCCUAGCGGAGCCAACAGCUCUGUGAAUGCUAACUAUCUCGAUUACCUUUAUAAUCUGCACUGCGACUGCUCAUUUGCCUGGUUGCGCCGUUUCCUAAAUCAGAUGCCGGAUUUGAUCGAGGCAAAAGAUGCCGGUGAAGUGUUCAUAGUGGGCAACUACGUUUCCACAGCUGUAAAGCGAAAUGGUAACGAUACGGAGGUCUUCAGCGUGGAUUGUUCGAAAAAGAUUACCUUGGAGAAUAUCUGGGCAGGCAAUGAGUUUUCGUACAACGCAUCUUGUUCUGAUGUUAUCUGCUAACUCUGUCUUUCCUUUCCUGCCUUGCUUUGGAGAUAAAUGCGCAUAUGGGCUUAUUAUCUAGUGCGUAUGGAUGGAGCGUUCGUUCGAAGAUUUGGCUCACGUGUGCAGAUGUCUCUUCCAGUACGGCGGGAAGGUUUGGGGACGCGCCGCAUAGAGACACUAGCUGUUUGUGCCUAUUUGGCAUCGGUGUACUCUGUGCUGCCUAUCGUCUCUGAAUUCUACCAGCCGACUGAAGAGUGUCUAACGGAAGCAGCUUUGGAGUCCUGGACGCAGUGCGAAACCCCAGCAGAUUUUAUUCGGAAAUUUCAAUACGCGUGGGAUGCGCCAAUGAUCGAGCGGAACAUUUCCAUGUUGAUGUCGAGUGCAGAAGGAAACGAACGUAACAGGGCUGUUUUGCUGGCUGCACUAAGCAAAGACUCGGGAGCCUGGUUAAAUGCGUUGCCUGCUCUUUGUCUGGGAACAUUCCUUAGAGACGACGAUGUCCGAAUCGGUGUCGCAUUGCGGUUUGGAUUGCCAGUGGUAGUGGCGCACAACUGUAUUGCAUGCGGCAAGCAAAUGGAAAUUAACGGACACCACGGGUUAUCCUGCAAUAAGUCAACCAAAGGACGAUGGGCGCGGCACCAAGAAAUGUACAGUAUUACUAAAAAUUGUUGCGAAAGCGCCGGUUUUCUCUGUCAACUAGGACCGACCGGCUUAUCGAGCAAGGACGGAAAAAGACCCGACGGGAUGACUUGGAUUCCAGUCCGCCAAGGGAAACCACUGGUGUGGGAUGUAAACAGUUGGUGCACGGUCGCAGACUCUCAUGUCACCGGCAGCUCGAAGAAAGCUGGAUACGUGGCUCAGCUCGCAGAAAAUGCCAAGCGCCGGACAUAUUCGUUUGUGGAAAAUGGAAACUUUUUUAUCCUUUAGUGAUUGAGACGUUGGGAGUAUUUGGCCCCGCUUUCAGUGAAUUGUUGCAUUUCAUGGGCCGUAAAAUUCGAGACUUAACUGGAGAAACGCGUUCUACUGCUUUCAUUAAGCAACGUUUUAGUCUCGCCGUUGUAAAAGGAAAUGCUACGGCUGUUUUGAGCACGUUACCUUUUAACCCAAGAGAAGAUAGAGAUUUUGGUUGUUUUUUUAAUGUUUAAAUUUUAACUAUCAAGUAGUGUACCGGCGCUUGCAGUUGUUGUUAUCGUGGUGGCUAUUGCCCAUUAAGAGUUCU